AUCCGGGUUGCGGACAGUGUCUGGUGGGUAGUUUGACUGGGGCGGUCUCCUCCUAAAGAGUAACGGAGGAGCACGAAGGUUGGCUAAUCCUGGUCGGACAUCAGGAGGUUAGUGCAAUGGCAUAAGCCAGCUUGACUGCGAGCGUGACGGCGCGAGCAGGUGCGAAAGCAGGUCAUAGUGAUCCGGUGGUUCUGAAUGGAAGGGCCAUCGCUCAACGGAUAAAAGGUACUCCGGGGAUAACAGGCUGAUACCGCCCAAGAGUUCAUAUCGACGGCGGUGUUUGGCACCUCGAUGUCGGCUCAUCACAUCCUGGGGCUGAAGUAGGUCCCAAGGGUAUGGCUGUUCGCCAUUUAAAGUGGUACGCGAGCUGGGUUUAGAACGUCGUGAGACAGUUCGGUCCCUAUCUGCCGUGGGCGCUGGAGAACUGAGGGGGGCUGCUCCUAGUACGAGAGGACCGGAGUGGACGCAUCACUGGUGUUCGGGUUGUCAUGCCAAUGGCACUGCCCGGUAGCUAAAUGCGGAAGAGAUAAGUGCUGAAAGCAUCUAAGCACGAAACUUGCCCCGAGAUGAGUUCUCCCUGAGACUUAGAGUCUCCUGAAGGAACGUUGAAGACGACGACGUUGAUAGGCCGGGUGUGUAAGCGCAGCGAUGCGUUGAGCUAACCGGUACUAAUGAACCGUGAGGCUUAACCUUA
rnacentral:rRNA from 1 species